rnacentral:rRNA from 1 species
ACACUCCUGCGGGAGGCAGCAGUGGGGAAUUUUGGACAAUGGGCGAAAGCCUGAUCCAGCAAUGCCGCGUGAGUGAAGAAGGCCUUCGGGAUGUAAAGCUCUUUUGUCAGGGAAGAAACGGUGAAAGCUAAUAUCUUUUGCUAAUGACGGUACCUGAAGAAUAAGCACCGGCUAACUACGUGCCAGCAGCCGCGGUAAUACGUAGGGUGCAAGCGUUAAUCGGAAUUACUGGGCGUAAAGCGUGCGCAGGCGGUUUUGUAAGUCUGAUGUGAAAUCCCCGGGCUCAACCUGGGAAUUGCAUUGGAGACUGCAAGGCUAGAAUCUGGCAGAGGGGGGUAGAAUUCCACGUGUAGCAGUGAAAUGCGUAGAUAUGUGGAGGAACACCGAUGGCGAAGGCAGCCCCCUGGGUCAAGAUUGACGCUCAUGCACGAAAGCGUGGGGAGCAAACAGGAUUAGAAACCCUGGUAGUCCCAUGAU